CUACUACUACCACUACUACUACUACUACAACUCACCCUCCACCACCACCACCACCACUACAACAACAACACCCAUAAACGCUAACUUUUUCCCACAACUUCCUCACAACUUGAGCGGCGUGGUGGCGGCAGUACUAUAACUAUUAACUUUAGCAACACCUUCCCUUCCCUCCCUUCCUCCCUGCUGCUUGUUUUCAUAUUCAUAACCCUCGGUAGCUCGGUGGUGUAUAUGCAGACCACCACCACCACCACCAUCAUCAUCAUCAUCAUCAUCAUCAUCAUCAUCGCCACCACCGUAAGUCCAGGGGUGUGUAGUCGGAUAUAAACAAAAAAAUCGACUCCGACUCCGACCUCAGGAAAUUUUAAGGUUGCGACUCCGACUCCGACUCCUGGAAAAUUUAAGGUUGCGACUUCCGACUCCGACUCCUGGAAAAUUAAGGUUGCGACUUCCGACUCCGACUCCUGGAAAAUUAAGGUUGCGACUUCCGACUCCGACUUAGGAAAUUUUAAGGUUUCGACUUCGACUCCACACCCUUGAUCCACAACAACAACCAUAACCACCACCAUCACCUCCGCCAUAACUACCAGCACCAUCACCAGUAAAACCAACAAACAUAACAGUAUAAAGACAGUACUCCUUUUUUCUGAUAUGGCACAAUGCAAUACCCUUUUUAUACAUCAACCACACUACCACCACCACCACCACCAGUAGAAAAACAACAAGAAUUCAAACACAGUGCUACUCUUUUCUGACAAUACGCAAAGCACCACCACCACCUCCACCACCACCAGCAACGUAGCAACACCACCACCACCAGCAACGUAGCAACACCACCACCACCAGCGCAACGCCACACCCUAAACACCACACCACUUGCAACAAAAACAACAACAGCAACAGUAACAACACAAAUGACCAACACACCACCAUCACCGCCACAUUUACACCUCAUCACACACCAUCACCACACCAUACUGCAAACUUUCAACCACCACCACCACCACCACUACCACUACCUCCACUAUUCUCCACGCCCCACUGACUUAGCCUCGUCAAUAACAGCCUGGUGGUGCCUCUCUCUCU